rnacentral:lncRNA from 1 species
UUUUGCGAAGAAGUAUUAUUAUUGCUAAUAGAAAAUGUAAUCUAUGUGUAAUUCAGGAUGGAAUCAGAGCAGCCAAGAGAAGUAUUCAGAUUGAAAUCCAAGUGGCUGUGCACAAGAUUUACCAACAGUUGUCUGCUACUCUGGAACGAGCUCUGCAAGCAAAUAAACAUCACAUUGAAGCCCAGCAGCGUCUCCUUUUGGUUACAGUUUUUGCCUUGAGUGUUCAUUAUCAACCAGUGGAUGUCUCCUUGGCAAUUUCUACUGGUCUUCUAAAUGUCCUGUCCCAGUUAUGUGGCACGGACACCAUGUUAGGACAACCCUUGCAAUUGUUGCCAAAGAGUGGUGUUUCCCAGCUGAGCACAGCACUGAAAGUGGCUAGUACCAGGCUACUUCAGAUUCUAGCUAUCACUACAGGGUAAGUAUUGUAAAUGUCUCAGUAGAGCUACCUGGAGCCUGGUGUUGCCAC